rnacentral:rRNA from 1 species
CAGUCGCCACGGUAAAACGUAGGUGGCAAGCGUUGUCCGGAAUUAUUGGGCUUAAAGGGCUCGCAGGCGGUUUCUUAAGUCUGAUGUGAAAGCCCCCGGCUCAACCGGGGAGGGUCAUUGGAAACUGGGAAACUUGAGCGCAGAAGAGGAGAGUGGAAUUCCACGUGUAGCGGUGAAAUGCGUAGAGAUGUGGAGGAACACCAGUGGCGAAGGCGACUCUUUGGUCUGUAACUGACGCUGAGGAGCGAAAGCGUGGGGAGCGAACAGGAUUAGAUACCCCUGUAGUCCCUGUCUCUUAUAA